rnacentral:lncRNA from 1 species
CUCAGAUUACAGUUGUGAGCCACUGUGCCCGGCCUGGCCUGAUACAUUUUAAAUGGAGGGAUGGCAUGACCUGUCUCAACUUUGAACAGAGUCAUUUGUAUUGCUGUGUUGAAAGCAGAAGACAGGGAGGUGGAGGCAAAUGCUGGGAUGCAAGUUACAUGACCCACACAGGAUGGUGGUGGAUUGGACCCGAGUGGCAGCAGUGGAGGUGAGAAAGCUAAUUAAGAAAUGAAGUGGAUGUGGUGGCUCACACCUACAAUCCCAGACACACAGAAGGCUGAAACUGAAGGAUUUCUUGAGCCCAGGGGUUCAAGACCAGCCUGGGCAACAUAGUGAGACCUCCUCUCAAAUACAGAAUGUUCUAUACUAAUGCUGAUGAUGGUGAUAAGGUGCUGGCCAGCAGGCUAAAUGUUUCUCUACAUCUUCUCAGUUUGUUCUCACAGUGACUCUAUGUGUCGAUAUUAUGUUAUCCAAGUUCUAUGGAUCAGAUGUAUGAGGCUUAGAGGGACUAUCAACUUAAUUGGAG